UCCCCUGGAAUGCACUCCAAUAGAGAGGACGUGCAAAGAUUCACAUUGGCCCUAGAAUCUAGUAAUCUAGUGACAUUCGUGAGAAAGUUAGGUCUCCUGUGGUGCUAUUCUCGAACUCACUCGGCUUUUUUUCGCAUGCAAAAAUUUUCGAGCAAUAGAUUCGUAUACGAAAAUUGUCGAGCGCGAUUGGUAUUUUCGAGUCCCACUCGAUGUGCUUUUGAAGGUAAAGUCGUAUGCGAAGUGUAGUGCGACGUUGCUGAUGUUUCAAUGUAAUGAAUUGACCAAUGAAACGGUGAGCACAGAAGAAAGUGCCGCGCAUUCUGAAGUUCUGAUACAAAUAUGGAAGUAAACAAAGUGUGGACGAAAGGUUAAACAGAAACAUUAAUUUUUUACUAAUAUAUCGUUACAAAAUAUGACAGGGGAGCAGAAGGUUUUGCUUGUUGAAUACGUGAGGAAACGUCCAAAACUAUUACAAAGAAAAUUUUCACCAGAUUUUACUUUUAAAGACUCUCAGUGACUAUGAGAAGAAUUAACCGCGAUUCAUAAUGCUGUACCUGGAGCCAAGAAGGAUUGGAAGCAAUGGAGAUAAACGUGGCAAGAUAUGAGAUCGAAAACGAAGGACAAGAAAACUACUUUAAACUGAGAAAAAAGUAGAACUGGUGGCGGACCCCAAACUAAAGUGGAAUUUAAAGAUAUAGAGGAGCAAAUAGAUGAAUUAAUAUUGAAUAACGAAGCAUUUGGUUAUGAAAGCAUCGAGGAAUCUGCAACUGACUUUGUAAUUGUUGACAUGCCUUGUCUACUUUUAAUUCACUAAGAAUUUGGCGAAAACAUGUGUAUUUCAUUUGCGUUUUUUUCACAUGUUUGGUGACGGAACGCUGCCGCAAAGUUCAAUAAAUUCUUUGUUGUAUAAUGAUCGGAUGGAAGAUGAAUAUAAAAAUGAAGAUAGGAUUGAGGAUGAAAAUGAGGAUCAGAAUCAGAAUGUGCAGAAAAAAAGAGGCUAACGAGCGAAACAUAAUGAGACAGCGUAUAACAGUUCUAGCACUAAAAAAAAAAAGAAACUAAGCGUGCCAGCUGAAGAGACUGAAGAAGUCAGUUACUGAAGCAUCCAAACUCGUAGAUGUUUCUUGUGACACAUAUGAACUAAAAAAAUGGUAAUAUGAGAAAAACGUAAUGUGUCUCUAGCGAAUUACCUGUGCAGUGGAGAAAUUUUGUGGCAUUAGUGAAGAGCAGUGCCCAGCAGAGUUUCUAGAAGAUGUAUAAUGUUUUUAUUUAUCUGCUCUUUAAAUAUUUUUUUAACACUUCUACGUUUGUUUUUUGAGUUCUCAGAAUUAUAAAAUGUUAUUAGUGAAUUUUACUCCGGAGCCGAACUCUAAAAUUUGAAGUCAAAUGUCCUAUUACAGUCAAAGAUAAAUUCCUAAUCUGUCAUACAAUUUGCCUUGGGCUUUUUUUAUAUAUAAUUCUCGCAGUACUAAAAUUUUAAAGCUAUUGAUUUCAAACUGUGAUAUUUCAAGUUUUUUGACUUUGAACAAGUAUUGUGAAAAAUGUAAACCUUCAACAUAAUUGGGAUUUCGAUGGAAGCUUUCCUUAAACUCUAAAAUAAAAUUGCUAAAAAUAUCUAAACCGGAUCUGAAACAAUGGAAAUGCUGCACUUAUAAUAUUAAGUCAUAAUUUUGUCUGUUUUGACAUUUCUAAAUGUACGUUGUAGGAGGUUUCGAUAGAGUAAUCGGCCUGACAGAUAAUUAUAUUUUGGUUUAUUUAUAUCUAUAAGUUUAUAAAGUUUUAUAUAUUUUCUAUAUUUUGGAUUAACGAAUCCAUGUGCUAGACCUUUUGAAUAAGGGUUAAACCAAAGCUUUAACAUUGUAUAACCACA